AACGAACGCUGGCGGCAGGCUUAACACAUGCAAGUCGAACGCGUGUAGCAAUACACGAGUGGCGCACGGGUGAGUAACGCGUGGAUAUCUGCCUUUUGGUUCGGAAUAACUCCGGGAAACUGGAGCUAAUACCGGAUGGUUCCUACGGGAUAAAGAUUUAUCGCCAAAAGAUGAGUCCGCGUACGAUUAGCUAGUUGGUGAGGUAAUGGCUCACCAAGGCGACGAUCGUUAGCUGGUCUGAGAGGACGAUCAGCCACACUGGGACUGAGACACGGCCCAGACUCCUACGGGAGGCAGCAGUGGGGAAUAUUGGACAAUGGGGGCAACCCUGAUCCAGCCAUGCCGCGUGAGUGAUGAAGGCCUUCGGGUUGUAAGCUCUUUUGGUCGGGGACGGAUGAUGACGGUACCCGCAGAAUAAGCCCCGGCUAACUUACGUGCCAGCAGCCGCGGUAAU
rnacentral:rRNA from 1 species